CCUCUUGAUCCUGCUAGAACGAGAAUGGAGAAUCAAAAGGAGGAACUAACCACAAAUAAAUAGAGCAGUAAUCAGGGUAAGACACUGGUGGAAGCUGCAUGAGCCAGCUCCAGAUUGUGUUUCAGAUACACUGAACAGGGCCUUGCAAGUUGCUGAGUUGCAAUCAGGAAGAGUUACUAUCUCCAAUUCAAAAGCUAGAUUCUGGAAACAUUCAAUAACAGGUCAGCCAAAAGCUGCAGGAAAGGGCAAAGCUACAGCCCAAAUGCAUGUCUCCAAUGGAACAACUCAAUCGUACAUUAGUCUUCCAUUCUUACCUUCACCAAGAGGAAUGUCCCAUUUGUCAGGUUUGCAAUGUGUUUCUCCUUAGUCAUCUACAUUCAGGAAGCAGGUAAAGUAAAUGUACUAAAACUCUACUUACAAAGAAGCAAGGCAACCGUAAGAGUAAAUGACUUCAGGGCCAUGGUGGCGAUUUUGAAACUGACUUUCUUGGAUCAGUGACCUUCACACCAAGACUUUGGUGCAAGGAUCUCACAAAUCAGACCCUGAAGACCACUGACACGCAGACCGAUUCACAACUAAACAUUUUGCUAAGGGAUAUUGAGAAUACUUCUAACAGGAUAAUUAAUUGUUAAUUAGAAGCAUUUCAGAAUGCAGACGUGGGAAUGUCUCUCUAGGAUUGAGCCAUACUAUA